CAGGUACAGAGGGAUGCUACCGGGCGACCGGAUGCGGAUCUCGAAAGCCUGUCCCAGUUCGGACUGGAGUCUGUAACCCGACUCCACGAAGUUGGAUUCGCUAGUAAUCGCGCAUCAGCCAUGGCGCGGUGAAUACGUUCCCGGGCCUUGUACACACCGCCCGUCAAGCCAUGGGAGCCGGGGGCGCCUGAAGUCCGGGACCGCGAGGACCGGCCUAGGGCGAAACUGGUAACUGGGGCUAAGUCGUAACAAGGUAUC
rnacentral:rRNA from 1 species